AUGAAUUUGCUCUUGGUAUAUUUACCUAUGCUGGAUAUGGGGUCAGAUCUUUGGUAUGCAAGUGAAUGCAUAUGGAACAAUGAUUGCACAUAUUACAGUAAGCUAUAUUCUCUUCACAUUUAUGCAUAUUCUUGUUGGGACAAAAAAAGUGGUUAUAAUAAGCAGAUUCUUGUUGGGACCAAAAAAAGUGGUUAUAAUAGGCAGAUAUAUUUCUUCCCAUUUACACAUAUUCUUGCUGGGAGAGAAAAACAAAGCAGUGAUAAUAUGCAGUUUUACAUAAGCUUAUGUCUUGCAAACUAG
rnacentral:rRNA from 1 species